UGCCGGAGCCAUAUCACCCUGUGGCUCUCACCUGGUGUCCUGCUGAAGGUAAGCAGGGGUGUACCUGGAUGGGAGACCUCCUGGGGAAAACUAAGGUUGCUGCUGGAA
rnacentral:rRNA from 1 species